rnacentral:rRNA from 1 species
AGCGAACGCUGGCGGCAGGCCUAACACAUGCAAGUCGAACGAACCUUUCGGGGUUAGUGGCGGACGGGUGAGCAACACGUGGGAACGUGCCUUUAGGUUCGGAAUAACUCAGGGAAACUUGUGCUAAUACCGAAUGUGCCCUUCGGGGGAAAGAUUUAUCGCCUUUAGAGCGGCCCGCGUCUGAUUAGCUAGUUGGUUGAGGUAAUGGCUCACCAAGGCGACGAUCAGUAGCUGGUCUGAGAGGAUGAUCAGCCACAUUGGGACUGAGACACGGCCCAAACUCCUACGGGAGGCAGCAGUGGGGAAUCUUGCGCAAUGGGCGAAAGCCUGACGCAGCCAUGCCGCGUGAAUGAUGAAGGUCUUAGGAUUGUAAAAUUCUUUCACCGGGGACGAUAAUGACGGUACCCGGAGAAGAAGCCCCGGCUAACUUCGUG